AACGAACGCUGGCGGCAGGCUUAACACAUGCAAGUCGAACGCCCCGCAAGGGGAGUGGCAGACGGGUGAGUAACGCGUGGGAACAUACCCUUUCCUGCGGAAUAGCUCCGGGAAACGGGAAUUAAUACCGCAUACGCCCUACGGGGGAAAGAUUUAUCGGGGAAGGAUUGGCCCGCGUGGGAUUAGCUAGUUGGUGGGGUAAAGGCCUACCAAGGCGACGAUCCAUAGCUGGUCUGAGAGGAUGAUCCGCCACAUUGGGACUGAGACACGGCCCAAACUCCUACGGGAGGCAGCAGUGGGGAAUAUUGGACGAUGGGCGCAAGCCUGAUCCAGCCAUGCCGCGUGAGUGAUGAAGGCCUUAGGGUUGUAAAGCUCUUUCACCGAUGAAGAUAAUGACGGUAGUCGGAGAAGAAGCCCCGGCUAACUUCGUG
rnacentral:rRNA from 1 species